UACGUAGGGUGGCAAGCGUUGUCCGGAUUUACUGGGCGUAAAGGACGUGCAGGCGGUCUGUUAAGUGCAGGGUGAAAGCUCCCGACUCAACUGGGAGAGGUCCUUGCAUACUGGCGGACUUGAGGGGGGUAGAGGAAAGUGGAAUUCCCGGUGUAGUGGUGAUAUGCGUAGAUAUCGGGAGGAACACCUGUGGCGAAGGCGGCUUUCUGGGCCCUACCCUGACGCUGAGACGCGAAAGCGUGGGGAGCGAACCGG
rnacentral:rRNA from 1 species